rnacentral:rRNA from 1 species
UAGACAGCUAGGAUGUUGGCUUGGAAGCAGCCAUUCAUUUAAAGAGUGCGUAACAGCUCACUAGUCGAGCGGUUCGGCAUGGAUAAUAAUCGGGCAUAAGCAUAUUACCGAAGCUAUGGCAACGAAAGUUGGGUAGGGGAGCAUUCUAUCGGCAUAGAAGCAUUACUGUGAGGUAAUGUGGAGCUUAUAGAAAAGAAAAUGUAGGCAUAAGUAACGAUAAAGCGGGCGAGAAACCCGCUCACCGAAAGACUAAGGUUUCCUCAGCCAUGCUAAUCAGCUGAGGGUUAGUCGGGGCCUAACGCGAACCCGAGAGGGGUAGUGGAUGGACAUAGGGUUAAUAUUCCCUAACUUGCUCACGAGGAAAGUGACGGUUCAAUGAGACUUAAGAAGACUGACGGAAUAGUUAAGACCUAGCCUACGGGCGAAGUUGAUUAAGAGCAGUUGGAUCCAAGAAAAGCGAGUGAAGCAACCCGUACCAUAAACCGACACAGGUAGUCGAGGAGAGAAUCCUAAGGUGCUCGAGUGAGUCGUGGCUAAGGAACUAGGCAAAAUAGUCUCGUAACUUCGGGAGAAGAGACGCCAACAGCGAUGUUGGCCGCAGUGAAGAGGCCCAGGCGACUGUUUAACAAAAACACAGGACUCUGCUAAAUCGAAAGAUGCUGUAUAGGGUCUGACACCUGCCCGGUGCUGGAAGGUUAAGGAAGGUGCUUAGCGUAAGCGAAGGCAUUGACUGAAGCCCCAGUAAACGGCGGCCGUAACUAUAACGGUCCUAAGGUAGCGAAAUUCCUUGUCGGGUAAGUUCCGACCUGCACGAAUGGUGUAACGAUCUGGGCACUGUCUCAGCCACGAGCUCGGUGAAAUUGUAGUAUCGGUGAAGAUGCCGAUUACCCGCAAUGGGACGAAAAGACCCUGUGAACCUUUACUAUAACUUCGUAUUGACUUUGAGUAAGUAAUGUGUAGGAUAGGUGGGAGACAUAGAAGCAGGCACGCUAGUGUUUGUGGAGUCGCUGUUGAAAUACCACCCUUUGCUUACUUAGAGCCUAACUUCUGGAUAGAAGGACAUUGCGUGGUGGGUAGUUUGACUGGGGUGGUCGCCUCCAAAAGAGUAACGGAGGCUUUCAAAGGUACCCUCAGCACGCUUGGUAACCGUGCGUAGAGUGUAAUGGCAAAAGGGUGCUUGACUGUGAGACCAACAAGUCGAUCAGGUGCGAAAGCAGGACAUAGUGAUCCGGUGGUUCCGAGUGGAAGGGCCAUCGCUCAUAGGAUAAAAGGUACUCCGGGGAUAACAGGCUAGUCUCCCCCAAGAGCUCACAUCGACGGGGAGGUUCGGCACCUCGAUGUCGGCUCGUCACAUCCUGGGGCUGGAGAAGGUCCCAAGGGUUG